AGCUGGCCGUGCUGGAUGUACGGCGCGACGAAUUGUAAGCCGACCAGAGGAUCGCCGUACCUGGGGGGAGUGUUGAGUACACCCUGAUGUACCUGCGCGCCUCUCUAUCCAAUCUAGCCUCUUUAAUUAUUACAUACACCAAUCUACGCUGGUAGCGUAUGAUACCUUCUUACCUAAAGAGGGAUAUAGAACGUCAUCAUUCAACGGUAUUGGGGACAAAGAAAACGUUGUUACCGUGAAAACCACAACAUCAUUCUAGUGCUACAUUAAUUUCCCUAAUUUCAUUACUUAUCACCUAUUAUGUACAUUUAAACCAAUUUGAAAUUGUGCUAUUUAACUAUAAUUCACUUAAGUGUCGCCUUAAGCCUACAAAGUGCAUUACCAUAACCCUAAAUCUAUUCACAUUGAGAACCUACAUGCAAAGGCUAGAAGAUCGAAGCCCAAAGCUCGCAUGAUCACUGAAACAUUAUCCAAUAGCGCACAACGGGACUAAACGUAAGUCACAAUGGACAAACAUAUAUUGCAAAAAUACUAAAUGGACAUUUAUUAAUUAAGGUAAAAACAUGUAAACUAACAUGAACAUGCAUGACAUCCAUUACAGGAAUUUAAUAAUAGCCACAUUUAAACGUAAAUCCUACGUGUCCGGUCGUUUGUGGUAUUAUUAUCUUGGAAAUAAACCCUGUGCAGUUUUACGUUGGGCAAAUU